rnacentral:rRNA from 1 species
UACGAAGGGGGCUAGCGUUGCUCGGAAUCACUGGGCGUAAAGGGUGCGUAGGCGGGUUUUUAAGUCAGGGGUGAAAUCCUGGAGCUCAACUCCAGAACUGCCUUUGAUACUGAAGAUCUUGAGUUCGGGAGAGGUGAGUGGAACUGCGAGUGUAGAGGUGAAAUUCGUAGAUAUUCGCAAGAACACCAGUGGCGAAGGCGGCUCACUGGCCCGAUACUGACGCUGAGGCACGAAAAGCGUGGGGAGCAAACAGG